rnacentral:rRNA from 1 species
UACGUAGGGUGCAAGCGUUAAUCGGAAUUACUGGGCGUAAAGCGCGCGCAGGCGGUCCUUUAAGUCUGAUGUGAAAGCCCACGGCUCAACCGUGGAGGGUCAUUGGAAACUGGGGGACUUGAGUGCAGAAGAGGAGAGCGGAAUUUCACGUGUAGCGGUGAAAUGCGUAGAGAUGUGGAGGAACACCAGUGGCGAAGGCGGCUCUCUGGUCUGUAACUGACGCUGAGGCGCGAAAGCGUGGGGAGCAAACAGG